AUCCGAAAAAGGCAAACCCGGUGAAAGCCGGGGACGCAAAGCCAACGGGUCUAAAGUCACUCACGUGACCAUGAUUGCCAGGCCGCCGAA
rfam:Chloroflexi bacterium RBG_16_51_16 RBG_16_scaffold_7206, whole genome shotgun sequence.